rnacentral:rRNA from 1 species
UACGUAGGGUGCGAGCGUUGUCCGGAAUUACUGGGCGUAAAGGGCUCGUAGGCGGCCAACUAAGUCAGACGUGAAAUCCCUCGGCUUAACCGGGGGAACUGCGUCUGAUACUGGAUGGCUUGAAUCCGGGAGAGGGAUGCGGAAUUCCAGGUGUAGCGGUGAAAUGCGCAGAUAUCAGGAGGAACACCGGUGGCGAAGGCGGGGUCUCUGGGCAAUAACUGACGCUGAGGAGCGAAAGCGUGGGGAGCGAACAGG